AAUAAUUGUAAUCUGAUUUCAGUUUCAAGGAUCUUUUGAAGAGUUUUUCAAGCAGCAGAAGAAAAAGCAGAUCAAUCAACAAUUUGCUCUACCAGAGAGGAAAGCUAAGGUUGACCAACUUGUUAAAACAAUAGAGAACACUGAUAACCCCGAUACUAGAUAUUGUAUAUGUCGAUCCACAGAUGGUACACGCUUUAUGAUAGCAUGUGACAAUUGUGAAGAAUGGUAUCACGGUGACUGUAUAGGUGUGACAGAGAAAGAUGCUCAGUUUAUCAAACAAUAUUACUGCGGUCCAUGUCGUCGUAAGUAC